rnacentral:rRNA from 1 species
GGGAUUGCCCUAGUAACGGCGAGUGAAGCGGCAACAGCUCAAAUUUGAAAUCUGGCUCUCGGGCCCGAGUUGUAAUUUGUAGAGGAUGCUUUUGAUGCGGUGCCUUCCGAGUUCCCUGGAACGGGACGCCAUAGAGGGUGAGAGCCCCGUCUGGUUGGAUGCCAAAUCUCUGUAAAGCUCCUUCGACGAGUCGAGUAGUUUGGGAAUGCUGCUCUAAAUGGGAGGUAUAUGUCUUCUAAAGCUAAAUACUGGCCAGAGACCGAUAGCGCACAAGUAGAGUGAUCGAAAGAUGAAAAGCACUUUGAAAAGAGAGUUAAAAAGUACGUGAAAUUGUUGAAAGGGAAGCGUUUAUGACCAGACUUGGGCUUGGAUAAUCAUCUGGGGUUCUCCCCAGUGCACUUUUCCAGUCCAGGCCAGCAUCAGUUUUCGCCGGGGGAUAAAGGCUUCGGGAAUGUGGCUCCCUCCGGGGAGUGUUAUAGCCCGUUGCGUAAUACCCUGGCGGGGACUGAGGUUCGCGCAUCUGCAAGGAUGCUGGCGUAAUGGUCAUCAACGACCCGUCUUGAAACACGGACCAAGGAGUCGUCUUCGUAUGCGAGUGUUCGGGUGUCAAACCCCUACGCGUAAUGAAAGUGAACGCAGGUGAGAGCUUCGGCGCAUCAUCGACCGAUCCUGAUGUUCUCGGAUGGAUUUGAGUAAGAGCAUACGGGGCCGGACCCGAAAGAAGGUGAACUAUGCCUGUGUAGGGUGAAGCCAGAGGAAACUCUGGUGGAGGCUCGCAGCGGUUCUGACGUGCAAAUCGAUCGUCAAACAUGGGCAUGGGGGCGAAAGACU